UACGUAGGGUGCAAGCGUUAUCCGGAAUUAUUGGGCGUAAAGAGCUCGUAGGCGGUUUGUCGCGUCUGCUGUGAAAACUGGAGGCUCAACCUCCAGCCUGCAGUGGGUACGGGCAGACUAGAGUGCGGUAGGGGAGAUUGGAAUUCCUGGUGUAGCGGUGGAAUGCGCAGAUAUCAGGAGGAACACCGAUGGCGAAGGCAGAUCUCUGGGCCGUAACUGACGCUGAGGAGCGAAAGCAUGGGGAGCGAACAGGAUUAGAAACCCCCGUAGUCC
rnacentral:rRNA from 1 species